rnacentral:rRNA from 1 species
UACGUAGGGGGCAAGCGUUGUCCGGAUUUAUUGGGCGUAAAGAGCGUGUAGGCGGCUUUACAGGUCCGUUGUGAAAACUCGAGGCUCAACCUCGAGACGCCGGUGGAAACCGUAAAGCUAGAGUCCGGAAGAGGAGAGUGGAAUUCCUGGUGUAGCGGUGAAAUGCGCAGAUAUCAGGAGGAACACCCGUGGCGAAAGCGGCUCUCUGGGACGGUACUGACGCUGAGACGCGAAAGCGUGGGAGCAACAGGAUAGAAACCCGGUACGCCAG